GUGGAUUAGAUACCCUAGUAGUCCAUGCCGUAAACGUUGGGAACUAGGUGUGGGUCUCAUUCCACGAGAUCCGUGCCGCAGCUAACGCAUUAAGUUCCCCGCCUGGGGAGUACGGCCGCAAGGCUAAAACUCAAAGGAAUUGACGGGGGCCCGCACAAGCGGCGGAGCAUGCGGAUUAAUUCGAUGCAACGCGAAGAACCUUACCAAGGCUUGACAUACACCGGAAACAUCCAGAGAUGGGUGCCCCGCAAGGUCGGUGUACAGGUGGUGCACGGCCGUCGACAGCU
rnacentral:rRNA from 1 species